UCACCGGGUGAAAACUGGUAGA
rnacentral:miRNA from 1 species